rnacentral:lncRNA from 1 species
UAUCCCACCUAACCUAUCCUAAAUUUCUAAGUUACUUUACACGUAAAGCUUUACAUUCAAUUUUCUAAAACUUAAGAAAGUAAAAUGUCAACUAUAGUGGCUACAUAUAUGUUAAAAGUCUAACAAAUUAAUUAAUAUACAGUAUCUUGUCUCCGUUGAUUUUUGUCGUAUCUGCUCCAUUAUUGCUCUGUAUCUGCUCCAUUAUUGCUCUUUAUCUUUAUCCUUCCAGCUGGCAUUUUAUCUUCUUUAUUCUAAAUGUACCUCUGGAAUAAUAUUAUCUUCUCCAUUGCACCUCGAACAUUGGUGGUCUGGAUAUUUAUGUCCAAUUAUCUUACAGUAUCUCGUUAGUAGUCCGUCUGAAAUAAAUCCCUUUUUUAUUGCUCGUGCGGUAGAUUGUUUUUCUGGGUUGAGUAGUGUUAAUAUCCACUGUCUUACAUCUUCCAUAUCUUCUUGUCUUAGUUCUUUCGAAUUUGAAUAUAUCAUUUGGUGGU